UUCUAACACUACAAUGUACACCAGUACCCAAACUGGAUCAUUCAUUUAAAAAAAAUUCAUUCCCGAAGACAUAGUUUUUGUGGUCUUAAUAGCUAAAUUGUCCUGGGACACUCCAAAUGUGAUUUAUUUGUCCCAAGGCCAGUAGAAGUUUCCAUGUAGGUGAAAAUGGAUGUUUGGCUAGUUGAAGAGAAACGGAAAUGAGUUCUGCAAGCUGACUUACCCAGUGGAAAUGGGGAGACACAUUACACCUUAUAGAGAAGCAGUUUCUGAGAGUCAGAGCUGGCUGGAGAAGAACUGCAUGGUCCCUGUCACUGGAGGUAUCUACCAGGUUGUACGGAAGAAGCAGUUCAUAUGUUGGUCCUUAAUGGAUAAAAGGCAUCUGGACCCAAGGAGGUAGUGGAAGUGUAGUGAGAGUGGCGACAACCAUAGAGCAGAGGGGCGUCUUUAGCUAGCAAAUCUCUGUGGGAGGAUACAUUAGACUAAGAAGGCACUUGGCCAUUAGAUUACGUAGUCAGUUUAUAACUGUAUAUGCGUGGUGACGCUCAAACACUUUUGCACAGAAACCUACUUGGCGUCACAAAAGCAUAAGACCUCCUGGACAAUGGCCUGCAUCUUCCCCUCCCCACUAGGCAUUCUGGUUGUCAGUGGUCACAGGCAUUUUAUGCUAGGCCAAUCCUUACACUCACUAGUCACAUAUGGGUCACUUAUAGAGUUGUUUAACUGUCCCUGUGACAUAAGCAUAGGCUUGCCUUUGGCAACUGUACAAGACAAGUCCUAAUCCUAUUGUUCUUUUCCAAGACAAUCAAUGUGAUCUCUUGCCAAGAAGUAUUUUUUAAACAACUUCUUAACUCUCUCAGUUACUCUACUAGUCCUGUUAGGAAGACACAUCUGGUUUGCUAGACAAUCAAUGCAAGUUGGAGAGGUUUGAUACUCAUGCAAACACAGCCAGAUCCUCUUUUCUCUAAAGUGAGAACUUUUAGAAAUGUCUUCUUGAGCACAUCGGAACAAGCAUAGGAAACAGUAAUUAGAAUGGACUUCAAUGCAUAAUAGAUCAAGUCUACAAAAGGAGAUGGGUUGGAGAUAUCCAGGCAACAGAAGUUUUGCACGUUUCCCCAAAUUACAUUCCUGUUGCAGAUCAAAGAUUUGUUUUUUUUUCAAACCACACCAAAGCACACAUUUGGAAGCCAAACUCCUCAAGGGCACUUAAGAAUUAUUUGGUAACCUUCCUGUUAAAUUUGGAGUUCAGCCUACAAGCUUAAGGUACACCAAAUAAUGGCCUUCACUGAAUCGCUGCCCUAGCAAACAAAGCAUUGUUUAUGGGAUUGGAGAAUGACAUCUACAUGAGGUUUGAAGUAUUUUAUGUGCAUAAUGUGUUUCAAGGGCCAUGGCCAGCCAGACUACCUGUAAUGCCAUUCAUCAAAUAAAUAUUAAUAUCACCAACUCAGAUUUUGACUCUGUUCUUCCUUGUGGGAGCCAUUCAACCUAGGAGGGUUGAUGAGGGAAAUAUUGCCCCUAUAUUCCAAAGCUGAAUGGUUUUUCCACUUAAGAAAGGAAGACUUUUCCCUUUUACAGAACUGGCUCUCUCUUGUCCAGUCUAGCCAGUUCAAAGCCUCUUAUGUGAAGCAGUCAGCUUCCAUAUACCACAACCAUGCAUAAUUAAAAACUUUAAGGAUGUUAAAUGCAAUGCAGUAUCCUGGAUUGGAUCCUGGAAACAGAAAAAGGACAUUAGUGGAAAAAACUGGUAAAAUCCAAAUAAAGUCUGGACUUCAGUUAAUAGUAAUGUGCCAAUGUUAACUUCUGAGUUUUGGCAAAUGAAUCAUAGUUAUGUAAGAUGUUAACGUUGGGAGACACUGGGUAAAAGGUAUGCAGAAACUCUCUGCAUUAUCUUUACAACUCUAUGCAAAUCUAGAAGUAUUCCAAAGUAAACAGUUUAUUGAAAGCUUUGUGGAUGAAC
rnacentral:lncRNA from 1 species